rnacentral:lncRNA from 1 species
GGUAAACCUACAGGAGGGUAGCGCUCCAGGAACAGCUUGGAGAGCCCUGGGCUAUAGUAACAGAACAGCCUCAACUCGUCAGGGCACGGACUUUACAAGGUGUCGAAAGCAUUCCACAGGGAUCCUGGCCCAUGUUGACUCCAAUGCUUCCACACUUGUGUCAAGUUGGCUGGAUGUCCUUUGGUGGCUGUACAAUAUGGAAUGUGGGAUGAGGGAUGAAGUGCAAAGGAUCAGUCUCUUCUCACAUAUGACAGACCUCUCCACACAUAAGAAAGUUUUGCUAAUGGGGAUUUCCCUUGCGCCUGAUCAAGCACCUUUUCAACAAUUUUGGUGAAGCCCUCAUUGAAGCGACAGCAUAUGUUGCCUACUGGAGAGUAGAUGCAAUCCACCUCAUACAACUGUAGAAAGGGCCAGAGAAGGAGAGAGACAGACAUAUUCCGUAAUACAUCUUUAGACGUCAUGUUGAUUCUUUAAUGCCUGAAAUUAAUAAAAUGUUUUAAGCUGCCUUCUUGAGUUGUCGAAGUAUU